GCUUGAGCACAGCUGGGUGGGAGGGUUCUACAUGGAAAUUCAGGGGUCCCCAGGCCUAACCUCCGUGGGUGUGGCCAGCACUCGCCUCUCCUUCCACUUCCGGUGUAAACUGAGUCACGACCACCCACCAGUGCCCACCCUCGGCUCCUCCCCUUCCCCCAUCAGCCCCUGCACCACCCACCCUGCUCUCUCCACCCCACGCCCCGAAGUGCAGGACCAGCGCAGACGGAAACAGAAAGCAGCAACUGCAGGCUAAGCGCGCUUUACUGAGCAUAUACAACAGCACACAGGAAGCAAAGAACCCCGUCCAUUCAAAUGAAGGGCUAACUGGGGAAGCGGCUGCCUGAUUUCGCAUCCUGCACCCAUGAUAGGAAAGAAGUUCUCAGGGUGUGUGUGGGCGGCACAGGGAGUGUCGCCUGGGGCUCGGGGUCCCCUUCUGCAAUGGAAGUAACAUCCACGGUAUCACCUGGAACCAACUCUUCCCGGGAUGCACAGCCCUGAGCCGCAAUGUUUUGGUCAACAACGGAACAGACGGAUGACUUUGCAGCCGCCGCAGUUUGUGUAAGGACAGGCCCCGGGUCUGCACCACGAUGAAACUGCCACUCCUCAGAGAGCGUCCUGCUCCUCCAGCACCGCGAGGGCUGACUGAACUGGAGUGGUCGGGGCGCUGCUCACCGGGUGUGCCGUACAGGCUGCUCCAUGCCUUCGUGCCUUUUCUUGGUCCACACAGCAAGCUGCAACCCAGAGCGACUGACGGGACCCGCAGGCAGAGGACAGCUGCAAGAUACAGCGCAUCCCAGCUCUCCUGCUGGUGGACUCUCCUUCCCUGCGACUCCGACCCUUCGGCCCUGCCCCACUGGGUUUCUCCAGAGGACGCUGGCACAGCACAGCGGGGCAGCCUGCAGGCUGGAGACUCCCCUCCCCCACCUCCGGGCCACAUAGCCAGGAGGCCUAGUUCAUCCCCUCCUCGGGUUCCUCGUUACACGGGAAACUUGGGCAGGAGCUUGGGGAAUCUCGGGUGCUGGCCCCAGUGCUGUCAAAGCCCGGGGUCACAGCAGUGCUGGGGUCGUGCACCCUGGGGCUGAGGCCCUGCAGUCCUGACCAGGUGAGGUGCUGCAUUUUCAAUUGGCUCUGAGAGUGCUGGGAAGAUUCCCGGGGAUCCGACUGGGCAGGCACCGAGGACCCUUGGCCAUGGGCCAUAAAACGUCGGACAGAGUGUGAUAUAAUCUUUUCCACUCCACUGAUGCAUUGAUUUGUUUCCAUUUCGCUGUCUCCAUGUAGUGCACACAUCCAUCUCGGCGAAGUUCCCAGGGAGCAGGGGCUGCCCGGGCAGGUUCUUUCUCAGCGAAACAGGAGCUCGAGGGAAAGGCUUCCUGCUUAUGGUGCCUGGAUGGUUUCGGGCACCUCAGUACUCAGUGUGGCCGGUCUUCACCAGUCCAUCAGGGGGCGGAGCCGGGGGUGAUGGAGUGUGGCACAGUGGCCUGCCCACCUCCAGCUGAGGGGGGGGCUCCGAUGCCAUGAGGAGCAGGAGUGGGGAAGGGAGGCCAGGAAGAGAUCAGGAAAGACGGGAGGAAAGGCGAGGGGAGGGGACAGACCUGAAAACUUCCAGGACAGGCGAUUUGAAACUAAGGCGCUGAACACGGACGUGUGUAGGAUCUUAGUCUGAUUUUCUACUUUUCAGUGGGAAUGGGAGCUAAAAGCUAAAUUGUCAGUACUUUUCCAAUUUCCUACAUUGCUACCCACAGCAAGCAGUAUAUCUGACUUCAUGAGCAGUGAACGCGCAGUAUGUGCGCACCUGUGUGCGUGCAUUUACACACAUUUCCGUGCAUUUCCAUCCCUCUCAGGGACCCUCCUGCCUCAGCCUUUGAGUGCUGAGAUUACAGGCACAGGACAACCACACCUGACUACGAUUUUCUCUUCUGUUCUCUUUCUUUUAAAAACUGUCUCUUGGUCCUAUAAAUCGAAUCCAUAAUCAUUAACGACCAUCAACCUUACAAAACUCGGGGUACAGAAAAGUUAUUUUGACCCCUCUCCACCGAGGCCAUGAUUCUGAGCCCCGGGGUCGGGUCAGACCAGGUGUUCAUCUCACCCUCUCCCCGCGGGCUGGGCUCGGCCAGCUACAAGGUGUUUCCUCCUGGCCAAGUUCGGGGCUGUGAGCGGAAGGCGCAUCUGAAAAACCCUCCCGGGGACCGAGGAGAGUGAAGGGCAGGGGUCCCUCGACCUGGCGAGGGGUGAGGCUGCCCGGGAUGUAGCGCAGAGGUCCAGGAGCGCCGCGCCGGAGGGAGGGAGGAGAAAUCUGGCCUCUCGGGCCCGCACCCCUCUCCCUCCCUGGGCUCCCCUUCCUCGUGGCCGCUUGGGCUGCUCAGUUCAUUUCCUUCCUUGUCCUUCUCGUCCAUUGCACCUUUUGGCCGAGCUUAUUUGUAAUUCAGAGAGGAGGAUGAGAACGCCAGUGCGUGCCCACCAGGCAGGUCCGGGCCUCCCGGAGGCUGCAAUCUCUGAGGAGCCCAGGCCCUGCUCUCGCCUCUUCUUCCAGUGCAGACUCCUGUCCCAGUGUCCCUGCCCGGCCAGGAGAGGCGAGCACACGGCCGGCCAAGGGUUUUCUCCUCAUGCUUCCUGCUCUAUCUGUCCUGCUACCUCACUCAGAUUCCUCGGCUUCACCUGCUGCACCAGAGAGGCCCUGGCAGGGUGGGCCCAUCGGCUCCCAAGCACCAGGCUCGGACCUGGCCUGACUCUCUCUCUCUGUCUCUCUCUCUCUCUCUCUCUGUCUCUCUCUCUCCUGAACCACACAGCUCCUUCCCGUGUGUCGGAACUCCGACUCUGUUACUCUCCACCUUGGCCCUUGGUUUCUUUUUUGACACCAACCAGGAUUUGUCUUUUUUCCUGUCUCCUCCCCUGGAAUGAAAGGACCCCAAAGGCUCAAUCAUAAUCAUCGUAUGAAGCAAGUAGUGUUGCCCCCUUUCCUACAUCCAGAAAUCUCACCUGGGCAUGGUUGUUGCAGGCCUGGAAUCCCAGCACUGGGGAGGCUGAGGCAGGAGGGUUGCAAGUCUGAGCCCCACCUGGGCAACUUAGCGAGACCCUGACUCACAAUAGAAGAUAAAAAGGGCUGGAGAUGUGGCUUGGUGUGAAGGGCCUAGAUCCAACCCAGGGCCAGAAGGAAGACAGAGAGAGAAAGGGAGGGAGGGAGGGAGAGAGAGGGACGGAGAGACAGGGGACGGGGGGAGAGGGAGAGAGAGGGAGAGCCAUGUGUCUUGCAGUUGAGACACUGUUGGUGCCUCUCCAGGGAGGCUCUUUGCGGAGCUCACCUUUCUCCCCACGGAGUGAGUCCUUUGGUCCUUCACUCCCAUUUACGGGUAGUAACAGAUGUUUCCUGCACACCUACUUCACCCCUGGACCCAGACUCCUGUGCAGUGGAGGACAAGGUAGCUCCUCCCGCUCUGCUCCACCCACAGCCAGAUUGAAGCCCAAGCUCUGAGUGAGGCUCCAGCAUCCAGAUACCUUCUGGGGAGACCCACGCCCCACAGGGUACAGAGCCAUAGCACAGGCCUCUGUCACCAACCAGUCCUUCCUUCUUCACCAGCUUUGUCUUUUAUGUGUGUUUUGGUCAGGGGGAGGACUGGGGAUUAAAUAGCUUGCAAUCCUCCUGCCUCAGCCUCCUAGAGCUCUAAGAGUACAUGUCUACAUCUCUUGCUACUCUGCUCUCACCUCCUGGCCAGAGCUUUCUCCCACCGUGAUGUGAGGUCGGGAGCUGCCCAACCUCAGGACACCGGGACAGCCCUGCAUAAAGAAACCCUGCUCUGCCUGGCCACAUCAGGCGGCUGGUGCCAACCAUCGGGAGCCUCACUCCCUCCACGGUACUCAAGGGCUCCCCAGUGCUCAAGAAGGGGACAGCAGGCCUGCAAACCCUUGGCUUUGUUUGCAGAGGCUCUUCCUAGGCGAGGCCCAAGCUCAGAUUCAGAACUAUAGGGUCAAGAAACUACAAGGGUCAGAAAGAAGCGAAUGGAAAUCUCCAAUGUUUGUAGAUAUUUCUUCCCACAUCUUCUGCGCUGGCACUGCAGCUUCCUCAGCUUUUCUGCUUCUGACGCGUGGUCACGAGGGUCUUCCUUCUCCUGCCGCUCUCUUCGAGAAAGAGCAGAGAAGAAAAUGACUGAGGGAAGGGAUUUCCUCUGCUCUUCUGGAAAUUUUCAGUUGUUUGUCUUCUAAAUGGUUUAUGCUCCAGUUUCUUCAUCUAUAAAAUGGAGAAUUAGCUAAAUUAAUGGACCUUUGUCUUUCAUGAAGUGCCUUCCAAAUACGGGCUGUGCAAGGGACAUGAGAUGGGGUGCUAGCAUUCUGUUAGUGUUUAUAAACAUAAUUUGAAUUUUCCAUUAAUUAGAAUUAAUCCUGUCUAUAAGAAAAGACCUUUCCAAUUAAAUCACUGGUGUGCAGCUUUGGGUGGCUGGUGCCUUUUUUUUCUUUUUGCUUAACUUUUAAUAAAAUGGAUUUCUACUCUAUUUUGGGUAAAUUUUUAAUUUGCAUCUCCCUCUGGCCUGUUUCAGUGACAUAGUCUCACCUCUUAUUUAGUGUCUCUAAACAUUCUUAUCUGUACUAGAAAUUUUACUUUGUUAUUACCCAUAGUCUUAUUAUUGAAAAUCAUUUUACAGCUGAAGGUUAAUAGCUAUAUUUAUUUCAAGGUAAUGUUUCCAUGUGCUUUAAGAUUUUAAAAUAAAACCAAAUAACCUUUCAUUAAGCUACUAUUUUAAUGUCAUUUUAUUUUUGUCUUAAAUAUAUGAUGUUCCUUUCCUUAUGAGUGAAAAUGAUCCUGAAUACUACUGGCCCAAGAUGCUAACAGAUUACAAAGCUAAGUGCCUUUGAGUUUUCUCACAAGAAAACAACCACUGG
rnacentral:lncRNA from 1 species